AACGAACGCUGGCGGCGCGCCUAAUACAUGCAAGUCGAGCGAGAAGACGUAGCAAUACGUUUGUAAAGCGGCGAACGGGUGAGGAAUACAUGGGUAACCUACCCUAGAGUGGGGAAUAACUAGCCGAAAGGUUAGCUAAUACCGCGUACGCUUCUUGGACUUCGGUUCAGGGAGGAAAGCGCUACCGAGGGUAGCGCGCUCUUGGAUGGGCUCAUGUCCUAUCAGCUUGUUGGUGAGGUAACGGCUCACCAAGGCUUCGACGGGUAGCUGGUCUGAGAGGACGAUCAGCCACACUGGCACUGCGACACGGGCCAGACUCCUACGGGAGGCUG
rnacentral:rRNA from 1 species